AGGUUUAUAUAGUUUAUAUAAAAUAUUGAAUUGCAAAUUCAAAGAAGCAUAAGUAUGUUUAAACUUA
rnacentral:tRNA from 1 species